CGGGGAAGCCCCGCGGUGGGCGUGGCCGGCUCGCUCCCAGGCGGGCUGUGAUUGGUUGGUUGCGGGUGUGGGCGGGGCUUAGGAGCGCCGGUUGCACGGGGUGGGGCCCACCGGUGUGGCCGCUUUAAGGGGCGCUCCUCCCGCCCCCUCGGAGCGGGGAUUGGCUGGCUUUGCCGCCUUCCCUCAUGCUAUUGGGCAGCGCGGCCGUCAGGCAGCGGGGGCGGCUCCCGCUUCUUCCGGCUGGGGAAGCGGGCGUUGCCUAGCAACGCGGCAACCCAGGCCUGAGGCCUAGGCCCAGGCCCAGGUUGAUUGUUAUUGCUGGCGUUUUAAUUCGUAUUUUGUAGUGUUUUGUAUUGCCAGCAUCGCUACUGCUAUUAGCUUAUGUUAUUGUUAUUUAUAUUAUUUGUUAUAUUAUUUAUAUUAUAUAUAACAUUAUUAUUUUACAUCAUUAUUGCCAUUACCAUUAUAUUACCAUCAUCUUCCUCAUUAGUAUUGUUAUCGUUAUAUUACCAUCAUCAUCCUCAUUAUUGUUACCAUUACAUUAUUACCAACCACCUCAUUAUCCUCAUUAGUAUCGUUAUUGCUGCAUUAUUGCCCUCGUCCUCGUCACUCCCACUAUGUUAUAACUGAUAGCAGUAUAGUAAUAACUGAUACUGUUAUCGUUAUAUUACCACCAUUAUCCCAAUCAUUCUCAUUAUCGUUACCAUAUUACCAUCAUCUUCCUCAUUCUCAUUAAUAUCGUUAUACCAUCCUCAUUCUCAUCAUUCUCAUUAUUAUUUUUAUCAUAUUACCACCCUCAACCUCACUAUCACUAUCAUUAUAUUAUUACCAUCAUCCUCAUCCUCCUCAUUAUCGUUGCCAUUACAUUACCACCAUCCUCACCCUUAUCAUUCCCACUAUUAUAUUAUUAUCAUCUUCAUCACCCUCACCAUCCCCACCGUUGUUACCGUUCUAUUACGUUCACAAUAUUAUCGUUAUCGUCGCGUUAUUGCCAUCCUCACCCUCAUUCUCCUCAUCAUUCUCAGUACAUCCUUACCACCCUCCUCAUCCUCAUCAUUACCGUUACAUUACCACCACUCUCUCCCCCCACUGUUAUUAUCACUGCCGUUAUAUUAUUACCACCACCACCCUCCCCCUCCCCACCCUCACCGUUACUGUUCUAUCUCCCCUCUCCCCCUCCAUCUCCCUCCCCGCCAUCCUUCCCCCUGUGUCCCCGCUCCCCUUCCCACCCCAGUGCCCGCUCCCCCCCCGGUGCAGCCCCGGAGGUGUCGAGGAAGCUCUGUGGGCUCGCCGCCCUCCUGGUGCCCACCACUUUCCCAUCCUCCCAAAUUUCGGGAGCGCCACGUUGAUUUAAUUUUAAUUUCCCCGGGCCUGAGCCACGUCCCGUGUCCCCGUCAGCCAUCUGGGCCCCGGCUCGUUACGGCGUGGCGCUGUAGCACGGGCAGUGAGGAGGGACACCCCAGAGCCACAAGAUGCAUGUUGGAGGGUGGUAGAGGCACGAGGAAGGCCGGCCGUGCCCGCUCGCAUCACUGCGUUUGCCCACAUCCUGCCUAG
ensembl:lncRNA